UCUGCUUUUGGACUUGUGUGGUCUCUGCCACCAGGCCUCGGGACCCCAGAUAGGCUGCUGGGAGCAGGCACCAGCUUAGAGGAAAGCCCCACGUGCCCCUGUCUUCAGGCCUGCUAGGACAGAUGACUUCGCAGAGGUUGAAUCCAGAGAGAGCAGCUUGCCUACAGCAGCUUUCAAAAAGGAAGCGAGAGUUGGAAGCCAGGCCAGUCUACAUUGGUUUCUGUCUCGUGCAAACUCAAGGUCUCUGACUGAUUUACUCCCACUGAGGAGCUGGCCCUUGAAUGGAAUUAAAGUGGAAUUUACAUUUCACUCUGACCAGAGUCCUAAGAAGGCCAGAGGGCAAUGAACAUUGGAGGGAGGACAGAGCCCAGGAGGCAGCCUUCACAUCAUCCUCUUCCUUUUUCCUGCACAUCCGCUGUAUAUUUGGAUCCUGCGGAGUUUUUCCCUCCUCUAUUCCCUGUGCCCAGUGCCACUAAGUUCAAACUCCGAUCAUCUCCUGUACUGUCAACUGGUCUACGCCAUCCUCCCCUGCUGCCCUCAAACCUAUUGCCCUUAUGAUAGAUGAUCUUCAUGGGGUUCUCCUAAAAGAUAAGGAUUCAGAUGUACAGAGUUUUAUUUGGGAAGUGGUCCUGGGAAGCACUGGUGUGCAAGUGAAAGAAGAACAGGGAAGGGAAGGCAAAGGGUUACACUGUGGGCACCUGGGGUUGACCUCACUGGGCACUUCCGGGAGCCAGUGAACAACACGUAGCUCAGGGGUAUCCCGUCUGAGGAGUGAGGGAUGUGGGCAUUUAUCUUCUAAGUUCAUCAGGUGGAGCACUGUUCCGGAGACGG